GACGAACGCUGGCGGCGUGCUUAACACAUGCAAGUCGAACGAAGUGGCGAACGGGUGAGUAAUACGUGGGUAACCUGCCCUCCUUUUUGGGAUAAGCCUUGGAAACGGGGUCUAAUACCGAAUAAAGGGGGAUGGGGUCGCGGCCUAUCAGCUUGUUGGUGGGGUGCUGGCCUACCAAGGCGGUGACGGGUGGCCGGCCUGAGAGGGUGACGGGCCAUAUGGGGACUGGGAGACGGCCCAGGCUCCUACGGGAGGUAGCAGUGGGGGAUAUUGCACAAUGGGGGAAAGCCCGAUGCAGCGACGCCGAGUGGGGGAUGAAGGCUUUCGGGUUGUAAACCUCUUUCGCUCUCGAACGGGUAGGUGGAGAAGAAGCGCCGGCUAACUACGUGCCAGCAGCCGCGGUAAUAC
rnacentral:rRNA from 1 species